GUCCAACAUAUUUCCGUACCAGCUCCUUCUACCUAUACCGCAGCUGAAGCACCUAAAGGUGAAUUUGGUGUCUUUCUUGUCAGUAAUGGGAGUAAUAGUCCCUAUCGUUGUAAAAUAAGAGCACCUGGCUCUGCCCAUUCACAAGGACUCGAUUCUUUGUCCAAACAUCACAUGCCAGCAGAUGUAGUCACCAUCAUAGGUACUCAAGAUAUUGUGUUUGGGAUUGACUUGUAA
rnacentral:rRNA from 1 species